rnacentral:rRNA from 1 species
UACGUAGGGCGCAAGCGUUGUCCGGAAUUAUUGGGCGUAAAGAGCUCGUAGGCGGCCUGUCACGUCGACUGUGAAAACCCAGGGCUCAACCCUGGGCCUGCAGUCGAUACGGGCAGGCUAGAGUGUGGUAGGGGAGACUGGAAUUCCUGGUGUAGCGGUGAAAUGCGCAGAUAUCAGGAGGAACACCGGUGGCGAAGGCGGGUCUCUGGGCCAUAACUGACGCUGAGGAGCGAAAGCGUGGGGAGCGAACAGG